AUGAAAGUGUUUUUUAGUGAUAUUACUGAACACAGAUCGCUUGGAAGAUACCGGAGUGGGAAGGACUGUGAGAAGCGUGCUCGGCUCUGCGUUACCAUCUGUCUACCCCCACUGACGGCUCAAUUUAUAAAGGGAGUGGAUGGACUGAUGUGGAUGACCCACCUAGUGAUAUUGCCAUCACAAUCUUGUUAUUUUUUCUUGGCCUGCGGUUUGUGGGAGGAAAAAGCUCCAAUAAACCAGAUACGAUUCUCCUCCUGCUCAUCUUUGAGAUUUUUCAUGCAUCAGGUUCCUUCCCUUGCUGGGAUGGGGCCAAUUCGUGGGAAGUUUUGGACUUCACCCCAAAAAGUGAUUCAGCCUUUCCAGUCCCAGACCAAACAGCUGCAGCCUUCUGUGCCAGUAGCGUUAGCUCACCUAAAGCAACCUCCCACCCCCAACAACCAGCAAAUGCAAAACAGUGGAAGUUCCUGAUUAAAAAAAUAGCAUUAAAAAACAUCUCGGAACUAUGAAGCACUGCGUUAUCGUCCUUUAACUGCAACAACAGGAGCUGCAAAUGUUUUAAACACUUUCCCAUACACAAGGUCAAAAUCUUUCACAGCCUACUGUUAUUGCAAAAGCCAAAUAUUGGGAAGGCAAGCAGUACAAAUGGUGCCAUUUAAAUCAUAGUUUAAGAUGUUCCUAGACAUCAGUACUGUGGUGGUGAUGUCAAGAUAUCCAAGUUGGCCAUGGCUGCAUUCGUACCAACCAUGCGUGUCAUAUUCAUUGAGAGCUCAGAGGUUAAUGGCACAGAGACAGGGCAUAGAGUUCUGUGGGAAUACAAUGAAAUUUGAAAACUAUUGCACAUAUUUGGGCUCUACAUCUUGUUUGGCCAUACAUAGGCCUACUUAAUGCCUUCAUGGGCCAGAGUCUGCUCCAGGGACAACCCCACUGAGACAGCUGGUGACUCAAGAUUUGCAGUUGCACAACCAAGAUUCAAGCCUGAAGGCAGUGAUUUAAUCUUUCACAUUCGGGGUGUAAAAACCUUGAGAAAUGGAAAGUAAUAGCUAAUAGUGGCCACUGGAGAUUUUAAUGUUAAAAUGUGGGAAAAAAAAAAAAAAGUACAUAAAGAGUAAAGUUAUUGCUCCAGUAUGGACUACCUCAGGUGUUGGCUGAUCACAUGCAUCCAUACUCUGCAGUGCCAACUCCAUCUCUUCAUGCAGGUGCUUUUCCCUUUGGCCUUGUUCCCCAGUGUAAAUCAGGCCACAGUUUGGCUCGGCACUGGUGUCAGGUGUCUGCCCAGUGCUUGGUUUCAUCCCAGCUCCUGGAAGUUAACCAUAAAUAAAGAUAGACCAACGUAAGAAGCA
rnacentral:lncRNA from 1 species